rnacentral:rRNA from 1 species
GACAGAGGGGGCAAGCGUUGCUCGGAAUCACUGGGCGUAAAGGGCGCGUAGGCGGUUGGGCAAGUCACGUGUGAAAUCUCCACGCUCAACGUGGAGGCGCCACGUGAGACUGCCCUGACUCGAGUCCGGUAGGGGAGCGUGGAAUUCCCGGUGUAGCGGUGAAAUGCGCAGAGAUCGGGAGGAACACCCGUAGCGAAGGCGGCGCUCUGGGCCGGUACUGACGCUGAGGAGCGAAAGCGUGGGGAGCAAACAGG